rnacentral:rRNA from 1 species
CAGUCGAACGAAACUUCUUUAUCACCGAGUGCUUGCACUCACCGAUAAAGAGUUGAGUGGCGAACGGGUGAGUAACACGUGGGCAACCUGCCCAAAAGAGGGGGAUAACACUUGGAAACAGGUGCUAAUACCGCAUAACCAUAGUUACCGCAUGGUAACUAUGUAAAAGGUGGCUAUGCUACCGCUUUUGGAUGGGCCCGCGACGCAUUAGCUAGUUGGUGGGGUAAAGGCUUACCAAGGCAAUGAUGCGUAGCCGAACUGAGAGGUUGAUCGGCCACAUUGGGACUGAGACACGGCCCAAACUCCUACGGGAGGCAGCAGUAGGGAAUCUUCCACAAUGGGCGAAAGCCUGAUGGAGCAACGCCGCGUGGGUGAAGAAGGUCUUCGGAUCGUAAAACCCUGUUGUUAGAGAAGAAAGUGCGUGAGAGUAACUGUUCACGUUUCGACGGUAUCUAACCAGAAAGCCACGGCUAACUACGUGCCAGCAGCCGCGGUAAUACGUAGGUGGCAAGCGUUAUCCGGAUUUAUUGGGCGUAAAGAGAACGCAGGCGGUCUUUUAAGUCUGAUGUGAAAGCCUUCGGCUUAACCGGAGUAGUGCAUUGGAAACUGGGAGACUUGAGUGCAGAAGAGGAGAGUGGAACUCCAUGUGUAGCGGUGAAAUGCGUAGAUAUAUGGAAGAACACCAGUGGCGAAAGCGGCUCUCUGGUCUGUAACUGACGCUGAGGUUCGAAAGCGUGNGUAGCAAACAGGAUUAGAUACCCUGGNAGUCCACGCCGUAAACGAUGAAUGCUA